rnacentral:ncRNA from 1 species
CGCUAUGCAACUGACGGAUUUUGUGGGCGACCACAGGGGAGUAUGGCGGAUGACAAUGCCGACCGUCUGGGCAGCCC